rnacentral:lncRNA from 1 species
ACUAACACACUUUAUUACAUUUCUCCAUUUUAUUUUAUUUUAAAGAUUUAUUUUGUGCUUGUUAAAUCACUUCUGAGUUUGUCAUUAUUCACUCAAACAUCAAACUUUAAGAUAUACUAAAAAAAAUGUAAGUCCGAGACCCAAAAUAUAAAACCUCAUACAAUAAGAUGUGAGGUUAUUAUUUAUCAAUUUUUCUUAAUUAUAAGCAAUCAUCUUGACUUACAAAAGAGUCAUUAUUCUGAUGCCCAUUUAAUCCACAAACUAUACAACAUGAGCAUGUGUGUGUAUUAACAGUAGUGUCACAUCUACAACGACGAGCCUGAGCACCUUUAAACCUUGCAUUAAAUUCAGCAUGAAUAACAUUAUAGAAAAAAAUAUCAACAAAAAAAAAAUAUAUAUAAAAAUAAAAAUAAUAAUAAUAAUAAUAAUAAUAAUAAUAAUAUACCACAUCCAUAGCUAAGGUUUAAGAGAGCAAUCAAAGCAGCAACAAAUAGGAGAAUGCUUCCUAGCUUCAUGAUGUUAUUAACACACUCAAUAAUAUCAAAUAGAGCUUUGAAAAUGUAGGGACAAUGUAAGAGAAAUGGAAUAUAUAUAUAUAUAUCUAGAUAUAUAUAUAUAGAUAUAUAUAUAUAGAUUAAAUAUAUUAUAUAUAUAUAUAUAUAUAUAUAUAUAUUAUAUUAUAUAUAUUACUAGGAUUUCACUUUAUAUUAAUAAUCAAUACCUUUGACUUUAAUUAUAAAGUUAUAUCUAUGAAUUUAAAAGUACUAUAAGAAUUGUUAAUUUCUGUGGUUUUAUAAAGAGACACCUGUAUUUAGAUACUGAUAGCAACAAAAAGAAAUCCGUUUUAAAUUAUGAAAAAAAUGUUUAAAAAAAAACUAGUUUUAAAAUAUUUUUAUUUAACUUAUUCAUUAAAUAUGCCAAAUUACCAAAGUUUAGAAAUUAUUAUAUAGGACAAAUUAUAUUAUUAUUUAUGUGAAAGCUUAAAUGUAUUAAUAAAAUAUUGAUUGUACAGUUUGUUGCGUAUUUAAAUAAUAUAUUAAAAAUAUUGAGUUUUUAUGUUAACACGAAUACAAAAUAUUUACCACACUUUAUAUUUUUAAAUGUCAACUAUCAUAUAAUAUAAAAUAGCAUUAAAUAUAUAUUUGUGGCUCUCCUAAAUAUUCUAAAUUUUUAUUUUUAAUUUUUUAAAAUAUUUUUUUAAAGAAUAGGCCUUUUAAAAUUUUCAUCCACACUUUUGAUCUCUUUAUAAAACAGGCCUUCUAAAAUUUUUAUAUUUAAUUUUUAAAUUCAUUUUUAAUAAAUCGAAAGACUAAUUCACAUCAUAUAACAUAAAUACACAUUAUUGAAGAUUAAAACAUAGUUAAAAUUGCAAUCUAUCUAUAUAAAGAUAAUGUAUUGUGAUAAAUAUCUUCUUAUCUUAUAUUCUAAUUCUGCCGCAUCACCAAUUUGAGGGUAUUUUUUUUCCAAUACUUGCUUUUCGCAAAUAAACCAUGCUACAUGUUACUUUGCAAUUACAAAUUACACAACCAAACCAUACUAUUUGUUACUUUGCAAUUACAAAUUACACAACCAAACCAUACUAUUUGUUACUUUGCAAUUACAAAUUACAUGUUUUUGUUGAGAAUGUAUUAAGUGUGAGUAGUGGGGAUAAUAGUCCCACAUUGAUUGGAAAUAUGGAGACUUGAGCAUUUAUAAGUGAGAAAAUUUACCCACCUAUCACUUUAAGGUUUUGGGUGAAUAUGUGGUGUGUCUCUCACCAAUCAAAUGUGAGUAGUGUCGGUAAUAGUCUCACAUUGGUUGGAAAUAUGGAGAUUUGAGCAUUUAUAAGUGAGAGAAUCCAUCCACCUAUCAAUAUGGAGAUUUGAGCAUUUAUAAGUGAAGGAAUGCACCCACCUAUCAUCUUAAGGUUCUGGGUGAAUAUCCUCACCUUUUCUUUAUAUAUGAACCAAUUAAACUCUAAUUCUAACCAAAAUGAUUGUCAAAUCAAUCAAAUUUGUUGUCAUUAUUUCACACCACCUUUCAACUUUCUCAUCCUUCUCUCUUUGACACAUCUUCCAUUAAGAGAAAUUUGACUUUUAUUAUAAUCACAUAUAAAGUAACACAAACGGAUGAUUGUGAUGUAUUGACAGUGUAAAUUUUUUUACACUAACAGUGUAUAACAAUUAAUCUCCUUAUUAAUAAUAUUUUGUCACUAAAAAAACAAAUUGAAAUUUAGUAUUAAUUAUAAAUUUUAAUAAUGCUUAUAAAUAUUGUAUAGAUAAAUUAAUAAAAUACAUUAAUAAGUGUUAAGGAUAUAAUAAGAAAAAUAAACGAUGAUAUUAAAACUAACACACUUUAUUACAUUUCUCCAUUUUAAAUUUUUUUUAAAGAUUUAUUUUGUGCUUGUUAAAUCACUUGUGAGUUUGUCAUUAUUCAAUCAAACAUCAAACUUUAAGAUAUACUAAAAAAAAUGUAAGUCCGACACCCAAAAUAUAAAACCUCAUACAAUACGAUGUGAGGUUAUUAUUUAUCAAAUUUCCUUAAUUAUAAGCAAUCAUCUUGACUUAUAAAAAAGUCAUUAUUUUGAUGCCCAUUUAAUCCACAAACUAUACAACAUGAGCAUGUGUGUGUAUUAACAGUAGUGUCACAUCUACAACGACGAGCUUGAGCACCUUUAAACCUUGCAUUAAAUUCAGCAUUGCAGUCACGCUAAGCAUGCAGACAGUCACCACUCAGUCCUGUAAUAACCUUAGGACAGAAUUUGAUAUUGGGUUCUAUACCUACAUGAAUAACAUUAUAGAAAAAAGUAUCAACAAAAAAAAAUAUAAAGAAAAAAUUAAAAUAAUAAUAAUAAUAAUAAUAAUAAUAAUAAUAUACCAGAUCCAUAUCUAAGGUUUAAGAGAGCAAUCAAAGCAGCAACAAAUAGGAGAAUGCUUCCUAGCUUCAUGAUGUUACUAACACACUCAAUCAUAUCAAAUAGAACUUUGAAAAUGCAGGGACAAUGUAAGAGAAAUG